GGUGCGUUGGAGAAAUGGUUAACUCACAGCCCUCUCAAGGCUGCAUUUACGGGUUCGAACCCCGUACGCACUACCA
rnacentral:tRNA from 3 species